rnacentral:rRNA from 1 species
CGUGCCUAAUACAUGCAAGUCGAGCGAGCUUGCCUAGAUGAUUUUAGUGCUUGCACUAAAUGAAACUAGAUACAAGCGAGCGGCGGACGGGUGAGUAACACGUGGGUAACCUGCCCAAGAGACUGGGAUAACACCUGGAAACAGAUGCUAAUACCGGAUAACAACACUAGACGCAUGUCUAGAGUUUGAAAGAUGGUUCUGCUAUCACUCUUGGAUGGACCUGCGGUGCAUUAGCUAGUUGGUAAGGUAAUGGCUUACCAAGGCGAUGAUGCAUAGCCGAGUUGAGAGACUGAUCGGCCACAUUGGGACUGAGACACGGCCCAAACUCCUACGGGAGGCAGCAGUAGGGAAUCUUCCACAAUGGACGAAAGUCUGAUGGAGCAACGCCGCGUGAGUGAAGAAGGGUUUCGGCUCGUAAAGCUCUGUUGGUAGUGAAGAAAGAUAGAGGUAGUAACUGGCCUUUAUUUGACGGUAAUUACUUAGAAAGUCACGGCUAACUACGUGCCAGCAGCCGCGGUAAUACGUAGGUGGCAAGCGUUGUCCGGAUUUAUUGGGCGUAAAGCGAGUGCAGGCGGUUCAAUAAGUCUGAUGUGAAAGCCUUCGGCUCAACCGGAGAAUUGCAUCAGAAACUGUUGAACUUGAGUGCAGAAGAGGAGAGUGGAACUCCAUGUGUAGCGGUGGAAUGCGUAGAUAUAUGGAAGAACACCAGUGGCGAAGGCGGCUCUCUGGUCUGCAACUGACGC